AUUGAACGCUGGCGGCAGGCCUAACACAUGCAAGUCGAACGGCAGCACAGAAGAGCUUGCUCUUUGGGUGGCGCGUGGCGGACGGGUGAGUAAUGUCUGGGAAACUGCCCGAUGGAGGGGGAUAACUACUGGAAACGGUAGCUAAUACCGCAUAACGUCACAAGCCCAAAGUGGGGACCUUCGGGCCUCACACAAUCGGAUGUGCCCAGAUGGGAUUAGCUAGUAGGUGGGGUAAUGGCUCACUCAGGCGACGAUCCCUAGCUGGUCUGAGAGGCUAACCAGCCACACUGGAACUGAGACACGGUCCAGACUCCUACGGGAGGCAGCAGUGGGGAAUAUUGCACAAUGGGCGCAAGCCUGAUGCAGCCAUGCCGCGUGUAUGAAGAAGGCCUUCGGGUUGUAAAGUACUUUCAGCGGGGAGGAAGGCGGUGAGGUUAAUAACCUUGCCGAUUGACGUUACCCGCAGAAGAAGCACCGGCUAACUCCGUGCCAGCCGCCGCUGUAA
rnacentral:rRNA from 1 species